AUUGCUUCGCGGCCUUUUGGCUAAGAUCAAGUGUAGUACAUAUGUGUGCAAAUAUAUAUAUAUAUAUAUAUAUAUAUAUAUAUCCUAUUUCAAGACCAAGAAGUUGAUCUGAAAAGGUUGGAUAUUGAGACCUCUU
rnacentral:snRNA from 1 species